rnacentral:rRNA from 1 species
GACGAACGCUGGCGGCGUGCUUAACACAUGCAAGUCGAACGGAAAGGCCCUGCUUUUGUGGGGUGCUCGAGUGGCGAACGGGUGAGUAACACGUGAGUAACCUGCCCUUGACUUUGGGAUAACUUCAGGAAACUGGGGCUAAUACCGGAUAGGAGCUCCUGCUGCAUGGUGGGGGUUGGAAAGUUUCGGCGGUUGGGGAUGGACUCGCGGCUUAUCAGCUUGUUGGUGGGGGAGUGGCUUACCAAGGCUUUGACGGGUAGCCGGCCUGAGAGGGUGACCGGCCACACGGGGAGUGAGACACGGCCCAGAGUCCUACGGGAGGCAGGAGUAGGGACUCUUCCGCAAUGGGCGGAAGCCUGGCGGAGGCACGCCGCGUGAGUGAAGAAGGCGUUCGGUGCGGAAAGCUCUGUGGUUAGGGAAGAAAGGAUAUGGCGUGACAAUAACGGUAAGAGACGGUAACUAACCAGAAAGCCACGGCUAACUACGUG